rnacentral:rRNA from 1 species
AUACGUAGGGGGCGAGCGUUGUCCGGAAUGAUUGGGCGUAAAGGGCGCGUAGGCGGCCCGGUAAGUCUGGCGUGAAAGUCCUGUUUUUAAGAUGGGAAUUGCUUUGGAUACUGUCGGGCUUGAGUGCAGGAUAGGUAAGUGGACUUCCCAGUGAAGCGGUGAAAUGCGUAGAGAUUGGGAGGAACACCAGUGGCGAAGGCGACUUACUGGACUGGAACUGACGCUGAGGCGCGGAAGUGUGGGGAGCAAACAGGGUUAGAUACCCUGGUAGUCCACACUGUAAACGAUGAAUGCUAGGUGUAGGGGGUAUCGACCCCUUCUGUGCCGCAGUCAACACAAUAAGCAUUCCGCCUGGGGAGCACGGCCGCAAGGUUGAAACUCAAAGGAAUUGACGGGG